CCCAGAAUCCUCUGCCUUCACCUCCCUCCACCAGAACUGACACAUAGCCGAGCCCUAAGAAUGGACAUUCUGACAGUUACAGCCAUUGAGUAGCCAAGGUGGCCUGUGCUGAAUGCUGAGGGAAUGGAGACCCAAUCCCCGAAGAAGGAAGGGAAGACAGCAAUGACAGAGUACGAUUGACAGGGAUUGUGCGCCAGGAGACCUCACUAGCUUCUUCCGAUGAUGUUCUCAGUGCCCCCAGUCCUAGCCAUGCAGACGACAGUGACACAGCUCUGCAGCCCCUUUCACAGGGACUCCACAGCCACUGUGUUCUGCCGUGUCUUUUCCUGAUCACUGGCAAGCACUGGGGAUGCUUGACACCCUCGGGUUCUGGCUUCAGGGUGGAAGAGAGUUGUUGAAAAGGUCCUCCAGACCCAACCUUGCUGAAGUGUUAGAAGCUUCUAGAAGAGCGGCCCACAAUUAAGACCUUUCUAUCCCGGACUCAUUGCUGUCGGGGAGACAAGCAGAGCAGAACAGUUAACAG
rnacentral:lncRNA from 1 species